AACGAACGCUGGCGGCAUGCCUAACACAUGCAAGUCGAACGAGAACUUCGGGUCUUGUGGCGCACGGGUGCGUACCGCGUGGGAACCUGCACUUAGGUUCGGAAUAACUCACCGAAAGGGGUGCUAAUACAGGAUAAUGUCAUCGGACCAAAGAUUUAUCGCCUUUGGAUGGGCCCGCGUUGGAUUAGCUAGUUGGUAGGGUAAAAGCCUACCAUGGCGACGAUACAUAGCUGGUGUGUGAGGAUGAUCAGCCACACUGGGACUGAGACACGGCCCAGACUCCUACGGGAGGCAGCAGUGGGGAAGAUUGGACAGUGGGCGAAAGCCUGAUCCAGCAAUGCCGCGUGAGUGAUGAAGGCCGGAGGGUUGUAAAGCUCGUUUACCCGGGAUGAUAAUGACAGUACCGGGAGAAUAAGCCCCGGCUAACUCCGUG
rnacentral:rRNA from 1 species